rnacentral:piRNA from 1 species
CGCUAGGUCUUGAUGCUCCU